rnacentral:ncRNA from 2 species
UUUAAUCUUCAGGGAUGGGUGAAAUUCCCUACCGGCGGUAAAGCCCGCGAGCUGAUGCAGCUUUAUGCAGUAUUGGCAGAUUCGGUUAGAUUCCGAAGCCGACAGUAUAGUCUGGAUGAAAGAAGGUGUAU